ACUCCUACGGGAGGCAGCAGUGGGGAAUAUUGCACAAUGGGGGAAACCCUGAUGCAGCCAUGCCGCGUGUGUGAAGAAGGCCUUCGGUUGUAAAGCACUUUCAGUAGGGAGGAAGGUAGUGUAGUUAACACCUGCAUUAUUUGACGUUACCUACAGAAGAAGCACCGGCUAACUCCGUGCCAGCAGCCGCGGUAAUACGGAGGGGUGCGAGCGUUAAUCGGAAUUACUGGCGUAAAGCGCAUGCAGGCGGCCUGUUAAGUCAGAUGUGAAAGCCCGGGGGCUUAACCUCGGAAUUGCAUUUGAAACUGGCAGGCUAGAGUCUUGUGAGGGGGUAGAAGUUUCAGGUGUAGCGGUGAAACGCGUAGAGAUCUGAAGAGUACCAGU
rnacentral:rRNA from 1 species